AAGAUUUUAGCUCUAAAAUACAUUAAGAUGUUGAGAAAUACAGGCUUUUUAUUGGGGCGGGGGUGUUAGGGAGCUAAUAGCUUGGAUUCUGAUUCUGUGGAUUGUUGGGAGAGUACAGGAAGGAGCCUUCCUAGAAAAGCAUCAUCUCUCACCAGACAAGAAAGUAUUCUGGGAUCCAUCCUGGGAGGAGGACAAGCCACACAUCCCGGGGUGGCUAGCAGCUCUGUCCUGCACUGGCUGGCUGUUUGGUGGAUGCUCCAGUGGCCCAAAGGGAAGAAGUGCAGUACAUCUCUACAUCUGGCUCCUGUUUUGUGCUCUCUGUGACUGGGAAGUUGAACCAAAGUGAAAAUGUUGUCAUUUCAGCAAUCAAGUUCUGUACUAGAGAGUAUGUAUCAUUCAAUUGACUCUGUUCCAUUCCACUGACCCUCAGAAGACUCUACCCUGUGUCUCUACCCAGAUUUUAAGUUAUUUCAAGCCAGGAACUCAUUCUCAUGCCCCAUGAAAUCCCUUUGUCACCACUAGCCACACCUACAGCUCUGUGCCCACUGAAGAAAGAAGAUGGCAGGGGACGUGGAGCCCUGAGUGGGCUGAGAUGGAAGGAGAGAGCUACUGCGGGGAGCGUCAUUGUUUAUCAAGCCUGAGUCCAUGUGGUGCUGGGACACAGGGGCCCCAAAGGUCCACUUUUCACAACUGAAGGCCAUGAUAUGAUGUUAACCACCACUACUUGCAAAAUGUUAAUGGUUUUAUACAUUUUUUUCAAAAUAUAUCUAAUAAUUAUUUGAUUUCUUAGUACCAGGGAAUAACGAGAAUGGAUCAUGUCAGAAGACUCACCAGGAAUUAUCUGGGUCAGUAAAUGACUCUUUCACUGUAGGAGGCAGUCCAGAGAUCUAUUGAUCUGCCACUACAGAGGAAUUUUUAGAAGAAUGGGCUGUGAGAAAGGCCACCCAAGGGAAGAGCCAAGGGGAGAGGCAUGGUGGAAGAACUCUUAAAGAGAAAAGGGACUCUGAGUUUGCAGUGGGCUCAGGAGAUGGGAAGACUGCAAGGUGGCAGCUGUGAUGUGAUGGCCCAGCUCCUGGACCUCAGGGAACGGAUCCAGGAGGUGCUCAAGGAAGCUGACAGCCAAGGAGGGAGGAGUGGGCCAUAUCUUGGAGGCCCCAAAUUCAGAGAACAAUGAAAACAAGAUGACCAGACCUGCCUGGCUCCUCUCCAUGCAGAGCUGGACCAGGAAUGGAACAGUUGGAUGGACUACAUUUAAUUCUCAUUCUUGCUGUGCAAGUGUUAUGGGAUUCCUGUCUGUAGUAAGGCUGGGCAGACCAGCAACCACCUUUUGGACUCAGAGCAAUCACACCUCCACGUGUUAUGGAUCAAAUAUGCCUUAAAAUCCCAUCUGGAGCUGUAAA